rnacentral:rRNA from 1 species
AUUGAACGCUGGCGGCAUGCUUUACACAUGCAAGUCGAACGGUAACAGGUUAAGCUGACGAGUGGCGAACGGGUGAGUAAUGCAUCGGAACGUGCCCGAUCGUGGGGGAUAACGCAGCGAAAGCUGCGCUAAUACCGCAUACGAUCUGAGGAUGAAAGCGGGGGACCGUAAGGCCUCGCGCGAUCGGAGCGGCCGAUGUCAGAUUAGGUAGUUGGUGGGGUAAAGGCCCACCAAGCCGACGAUCUGUAGCUGGUCUGAGAGGACGACCAGCCACACUGGGACUGAGACACGGCCCAGACUCCUACGGGAGGCAGCAGUGGGGAAUUUUGGACAAUGGGCGAAAGCCUGAUCCAGCAAUGCCGCGUGCAGGAAGAAGGCCUUCGGGUUGUAAACUGCUUUUGUACGGAGCGAAAAGGUCCUUUCUAAUACAAGGGGCUCAUGACGGUACCGUAAGAAUAAGCACCGGCUAACUACGUGCCAGCCGCCGCAGUAA